GCGUAAUGAUGAUGAACUUUUAUCAACCGAAAUUUCCAUGAAUGGAUAAAAUCCUCCUACUCAUUCUGA